GUAUUUGUUUAAGGCCUUAACGGCACUAAUCACGUUCAAUGUUAUAAUAAGGAGUUUGUAAUAAAAAGAGAGGGGUCAACCUAGACGGAAAACCCCUCAGAUGUGCACAGGUGUAUGGAUAAGGAUUGUCGGAGGCGAGCACAUGCCAAUAAAGGCCAGCAUCAACCCCCUUUAACAAUUCGUUAAUGAUCCUUCCGCAGGUUCACCUACGGAAA
rnacentral:misc_RNA from 1 species